GAGGGCGUUUUCGCCCCACGAGAACAGUUGUGAACCGCGAACCGUAAUAUCCCAACGCGGUCGGGAAUCCUCGCCCUUUAGGGCGGGGAGGAUGUCAACGGGUCUGAAACA
rnacentral:misc_RNA from 1 species